AUGAAUGGCUACUCCAGCCUCGGCUCCUCGCCCCCGCCGGUGGCGGUGGCUGUGGUGACCAGCGCCCGGCCCAGGCGAUCGCUGGAGCUGACCCACACCAAGGAGACCAACGCGUGGGAAGGGCUCGCCAUCGGGGCGGUCACCCUGGCGAGGACCUUCUCCACCGGCUCGCAGAGGCUCUGCAGCAGGUCCGGCGACAAGGCCAGGGGCGCCCUGCCGGGCGCUAUGAGGAGGGCCUUCUCCAUGCGGAGGCACCCCGCGGCUCCUGGCAAGGGCGACGGGCACUACUGGAGGAUCCACGACAUGGAAGGGGACAGCGACCACGGCGACGACCACAAUGCGGUGGCCGAGGAGGAGCGCGGCGUGGAGAAGGAGCACGAGGAGAAGAAGGAGGCGCAGCGAGAGGAAGGUCGGCCGAAAGAGGAGGCCAAGACGAAGAAGAAGAGAGGCAACCACAACAUUCUCAAGGCGUGCAAGAAGCUCUUCCGGUUGUGA
rnacentral:rRNA from 1 species